CACUUAAAUAUUGUUACUAGGCCCUGGCGGCCUGGCCCAACCAAACUAAACUCCCCGAUCCAUCGGGGGUGGGUAGUAUCAUCAAUCAAACCCUAGAUCGAAUGGCUCCACCCACCUACUUACCUACCUUGUGAAUCGUUUCUUCACCGAAUGGCUCUUCAGAUCGCUUCUUUUUGUUCAAAUCCCCGUUCAAUCGAUCAAGUAUAUUUUUUUGGCGAUUCAAUCAGGUUGCAGCAAAGAAGCAAACAUUUUCGUCCCUGGAUGAUUUACUUCAAAUGGCUGAGAAGCUCGUGUUGGUUGACUUUUAUGCAACCUGGUAAAAAACUUUGUACCCUGGCACUUGUGAAAAUGAAGUUAUACUUGUCCUAGGUUGAAAAUGAAGGUAUGUUAGUAUAUUAUAUAUCACUUACUGGGUGUCGGACACGUCAGUUUAUGGGUCCUAGGUUCCUAUACUAGACGAAGUUAGUGUUAGCAUGGGAGAUAGUAUCCAAGUGGUGAAGAUUGACACCAAGAAACCUACGCCACAAAAUAUUAGAAGAAGCCCAUAAGUCUAAGUAUACGAUACAUCCCGGUAGUGAUAAGAUGUAUCAAGACUUAAAAGGAAUUUCUGGUGGAUAAGAAUGAAAAUGAUAUAGCAACCUAUGUUGCUAAAUGUCUUACCUGUUCGCAGGUUAAAACUGAACAUCAGAAACACUCAGGGUUAUUACAGCAAUUAGAAUUGCCAAUAUGGAAAUGGGAAUUGAUAACAAUGGAUUUUGUUACCAAAUUACCCAAGACACGAAAAGGUAAUGAUACAAUCUGGGUGAUUGUAGACAAAUUAAUCAAAUCUGCUUGUUUCUUACCUAUGAAGGAAACUUUCAGUAUGUAACAGUUAGCCAAGUUAUAUGUAAAUGAAAUACUUUCAUUACAUGAAAUUCUUUAUCUAUUGUAUCAGAUAGGGAUAGCCAUUUUACAUAUCAUUUUUGGACAAGUUUCCAAAAAGCAAUGGGUACCAGGUUGAAUCUGAGCACAGCUUACCCUCCUCAAACGGACGGACAAAACGAAAGGACAAUUCAGACCAUGGAAGAUAUGCUUAGAGCAUGUGUAAUUGAUUUCAGAAGAAAUUGGGAUGAUCAUUUACCAUUAAUAUAAUUUUUCUACAAUAACAGUUAUCAUACCAACAUUAAUGCUGUACUUUUUGAAGCACUUUAUGGACGAAAGUGCCGAACUCCAGUAUGUUGGGCAGAAAUUGGAAAAAAAACAACUAUCUGGACCAGAGAUAGUGCAAGAAACCAUGGACAAAAUUAUUCAAGUCAAGGAAAGACUAAAAACAGCACGAGAUCGUCAAAAAAGUUAUGCAGAUAACAGAGAAAACCAUUGGAAUUUUAAGUUGGAGAUAAGGUAUUGUUAAAAGUUUCUCCAUGGAAAUGAGUGGUCAGAUUCGUUAAAAGAGGUAUGUUGGACCUUUUGAGAUUAUCAAAAGAAUAUGGCCAGUAGCUUAUCAACUAUAACUGCAAGGGUUUUUUCUGUCACAAUGGCGAAUCUGGGUAUGUCCAUUGGCGAAGCAGUGGACUUUUACCGCGAUAGGCUGGGGUACAAGUAUCGAUCCAUCUCGACUCUUCUGCUCGAUGGGACCGUCCUUGGGCGUCUUCUCCAAGUGGAGACCGUGUGCGUCUAUAACCAGUUGGCGGUUCAAGGUCUUCCACAACAUUAUCCUUAUCUAGAUUGUGUGCACGAAGAGCAUAUUGUUGACAGCCUCGAAUGUGUAGCGCUGGCCUUAUUAAGCUCAAAGCAACAACCCCCAUGCUUCUCGCAAGCGAGGACCUGGUUUUUUGCAAAGCGAUUGAAAACGUAAAGUUUUUGACUUAUUUAUCUGUUUCACGUAUCGUCUUUGCAAAGAUUACCGGGCUGCCUGCUAUUGUUUUUGUUAAUGGGGUCUUAACGAUCCCCAUUCCAGAUAUCACACUAAGGGAACAAUUGGAUAUCUACAAGCAAAACUGUAUUAGGCUUGCAAGAGAGCAGGAAAAUGGACCGUGAUGCCAGGAAAGGGGCAAUGAUGUUCGAAGGUGUCUACUUUUGCAUAGUAUUAACAGGAUUGCAGGUAUGAGAUGUUAGUUUUAAUAUCCUAGUUUUUAAUAUGAAUAUUGGUUGAUACUACAUAUCAAAUGGUACUGCUGUUCGGAUUUAUGCCAUAUAACUUUUAUGCACUAUAUCUGGACAUUCUGAUAAUGUCAUUGAAAUUCUGAUGAUAUUCUGAUAAUGUCACCUCCUUAAACUGUUAGAAUAUAUUCAUUACAGAUGAAUUGAGUUCUUAAGAUUAUCUUUAGAGCAAAAUGAACAAUUAUUACGAA